UCCAUAGAUUAGUCCCUUAAGACCUUACAAACUAAGACUGUAAGUCACCUAAGAUCAAAACCCAAUCCUAACCCAAAUAGACAUUCCAUAUAGCUCUGCCCAUGACAUUAAGCCAACCCAGUCUCAGACUGAGUUGGCUAACCUGUGACUGUAGAAAAUCAUUGAGUCAACUCAGCUACAUACCAUGUUAGAAGUUCUGAAAAUACAGCUUUCUGUCUGUCUGUUCCUCUUUGAGAUAUAAUUGAUUC
rnacentral:lncRNA from 1 species